UGAGGAAUAUUGGUCAAUGGUCGCUAGACUGAACCAGCCAAGUAGCGUGCGGGAUGAAGGCCCUCCGGGUCGUAAACCGCUUUUAGACGGGGAUAAAAGGGCGUACGUGUACGCCGUAUUGCAUGUACCGUCAGAAAAAGGACCGGCUAAUUCCGUGCCAGCAGCCGCGGUAAUACGGAAGGUCCGGGCGUUAUCCGGAUUUAUUGGGUUUAAAGGGAGCGUAGGCGGACUUUCAAGUCAGUGGUAAAAUCGUGUGGCUCAACCAUACCUCGCCAUUGAAACUGGAAGUCUGGAGUGCACACAGGGGUGCCGGAAUUCAUGGUGUAGCGGUGAAAUGCUUAGAUAUCAUGAAGAACUCCGAUCGCGAAGGCAAGUGCCCGGGGUGCAACUGACGCUGAGGCUCGAAGGUGCGGGUAGCAAACAGGAUUAGAUACC
rnacentral:rRNA from 1 species